UUUAUUUCUUAAUGCAUUUCUUAUGCUAUCCAUGUAUUUAAUUUCUGUUUGGAAUAUAUUAUAUAUGCAUGCUUGUGACGCCUUGGGCGAUAAGGAAAACUUUGUUUGUUUAACGGGUCAUGCUCGCUGAGUGAUUCCGUUGUGGGCUUGAGGCGUAACGACUACUUUAUUUGAUCAUUGAUAUUGUAGUUCGAUUAUAUCUAAAAGUUGCCCAAAAUAGUUUUUACUAUAUUAAUCAUCAUAUCCCUGUACCCAUAUUUCACUGUUCUGACUCUUCAAUAUUUCUUCUAAACCAUUACCUAACUAUUCAAAAUAAUAAAAUACCCAUCUAUAUGGUCCUCGUGCCAAUUGUAAAAGUUCCGUCGAGACUCAACUAUCUUUGCACUUGUACAUUAUUGACAUUGUAAUUUCAGCUAAUCAUUAAAUUUCUCUUCUUGCCCCUUGUCAACUUUUCUAUCAUCAACUUUCAAUCAAUUCUUUAUGUUCUCUGUUCAAAAUUUGAACUUAUGUUGGUAGAAAAAAAGAAUAAUACUACGAAAAUAUGUUUAUAUAAAUUUAUAUCACAAGAAAAUACAAAAUACUUAAUAAAUAGUAUGACUUCUAAACAAUUUUUAAGAACAUACAUGUGUGUCCAUCUAAGAUCACUUAUGUCCAUAAGCUCCUACUUAUAUUGACCAAAUAGGGAGCCAUUUUGGCUAAAAUCUGAUAAGAGCAAUUUAUCAUUUAUUGAUUCACUCGCAUAAUUUCUUCCAACAUAGUUUAAUCGUAUCUCGGCUCCUUUCAAAUAUUUAGAACAAAACGUGAAGUAUUCUUGAGCUAUUACUCCUUCAGCUAUUGAUCCCAUAGGAUGAGCUUUAUUAAGAACAUAUAAUUUGUUAAAGAUAUUUCUAUUUAUUAAAAAAAUUAAUUUCACAUACUACAAACAAAUUUUAAAAAAACUUAAUUUACCUUUCAAAUUUAUAAAUCCAUCGAUUUUGCACGAGACCUGCAAUCUUUACCUCACUAGCUAU
rnacentral:lncRNA from 1 species